GAGUUUGAUCUUGGCUCAGGACGAGCGCUGGCGGCGCGCCUAACACAUGCAAGUCGAACGAGCGAGAGAGAGCUUGCUUUCUCAAGCGAGUGGCGAACGAGUGAGUAACGCGUGAGGAACCUGCCUCAAAGAGGGGGACAACAGUUGGAAACGACUGCUAAUACCGCAUAAGCCCACAGGUCGGCAUCGACCAGAGGGAAAAGGAGCAAUCCGCUUUGAGAUGGCCUCGCGUCCGAUUAGCUAGUUGGUGAGGUAAUGGCCCACCAAGGCAACGAUCGGUAGCCGGACUGAGAGGUUGAACGGCCACAUUGGGACUGAGACACGGCCCAGACUCCUACGGGAGGCAGCAGUGGGGAAUAUUGCACAAUGGGGGAAACCCUGAUGCAGCGACGCCGCGUGGAGGAAGAAGGUCUUCGGAUUGUAAAACUCCUGUUGUUGAGG
rnacentral:rRNA from 1 species